AUUGCUUGCACAUGUAUACUAAAAUUAGAACAAUAGUGAUUAGCAUGGCCCCUCUGCAAGAAUGACAUUUAAAUUCAUAAGGCAAUCCAUAUUUUU
ensembl:snRNA U6 U6 spliceosomal RNA